rnacentral:sRNA from 1 species
AACCCCAUGGUAUAAUACUUCUUGUAAGCAAGUUGAUGAUGGUGGCUAAUCUUCUAUUAAGGAAGGUGAUGCCUAUGCUCUUAAUGGCUCGCUCUCCUAGAAAGGAGAGUAAAUGACUGAUUUUGAAUUAGCGAUGUUAUUAUUAACAUCGAUUCAAACAUUAGUUUUGGUAAUUAAAGCAUAAA